GGGGGCGAACGGCUUCGACGGGGAUGGACGAUGCACGAGCGGCAUGCCGAGCACCUUCGGUCAGCUCGUUAAAAUGCCCGGAGAAACACAACUGCCAACGACAACUUGGCUCUGGCUGCCUAACUAAACACUAGGCAACCCGUCUCCGGCCAGGCUCCCCGCCUGUGGUGCGGUCGAGAGGCGUGACAAAAGCAGGCUAGCGCCGGCCCCCGCCCGCGAGGACGGCGCGAAACGCAGCGGGCUCAUCUCCGGGGUAGCCUCGUCGGCGGGACGCCCGGGAGAGACAUUUAAAGGCCGACUACGCAUGUAGAUGUUCUUGCUGAACCGUUUUCGGACGUGGGUUCAACUCCCACCGCCUCCACCA
rnacentral:tmRNA from 1 species